AACGAACGCUGGCGGCAUGCCUAACACAUGCAAGUCGAACGAGACCUUCGGGUCUAGUGGCGCACGGGUUCGUAACGCGUGGGAAUCUGCCCUUGGGUUCGGAAUAACAGUUGGAAACGACUGCUAAUACCGGAUGAUGACGUAAGUCCAAAGAUUUAUCGCCCAGGGAUGAGCCCGCGUAGGAUUAGCUAGUUGGUGGGGUAAAGGCCUACCAAGGCGACGAUCCUUAGCUGGUCUGAGAGGAUGAUCAGCCACACUGGGACUGAGACACGGCCCAGACUCCUACGGGAGGCAGCAGUGGGGAAUAUUGGACAAUGGGCGAAAGCCUGAUCCAGCAAUGCCGCGUGAGUGAUGAAGGCCUUAGGGUUGUAAAGCUCUUUUACCCGGGAUGAUAAUGACAGUACCGGGAGAAUAAGCCCCGGCUAACUCCGUG
rnacentral:rRNA from 1 species